GACGUAGGGUGCGAGCGUUGUCCGGAUUUAUUGGGCGUAAAGAGCUCGUAGGCGGCUUGUCGCGUCGUCCGUGAAAACCUGCGGCUCAACUGCAGGCUGGCGGUCGAUACGGGCAGGCUGGAGUUCGGUAGGGGAGACUGGAAUUCCUGGUGUAGCGGUGAAAUGCGCAGAUAUCAGGAGGAACACCGAUGGCGAAGGCGGGUCUCUGGGCAAUUCCUGACGCU
rnacentral:rRNA from 1 species